rnacentral:lncRNA from 1 species
GAGAUGGAGUCUCGCUCUGUCGCUCAGGCUGGAGUGCAGUGGCGCAAUCUCGGCUCACUGCAAGCUCUGCCUCCCAGGUUCACAUCAUUCUCCUGCCUCAGCCUCCCGAGCAGCUGGGACUACAGGCGCCUGCCACCUCACCCGGCCAAUUUUUUGUAUUUUUAGUAGAGAUGGGUUUUCACCACAUUAGCCAGGAUGGUCUCAAUCUCCUGACCUUGUGAUCCGUCCACCUCGGCCUCCCAAAGUGCUGGGAUUACAGGCGUACUGCGCCCGGCCCAUUUUAACCAUUUUUAAGUGUACAAUCCAGUGGUAUCAGUUACAUUCAUAAUGCUGUACAACCAACACUACCAUCUAUUUCCAAACUUUUUCAUCAUCCAAAUAGAAACUCUGUUCCUAUUAAGAAAUUAACUGCCCAUCUCCCCAGCCCUUGCUAACCUCUUCUUUCUGGUUCCAUGAACUGGCCUAUGCUAGAUAUUUCGUGUAAAUGGAAUCACAGUAUUUGUCCUUUUAUGUCUGGCUUGUUUAACUUAGCAUAAUGCUUUCAAGGUAAACUACAUUGGAACUUCACUCCUUUUUUUUUGGAGAUGGAGUCUCGCUCUGUCACCUAGGCUGGAGUGCAGUGGGGCAAUCUCUGCUUACUGCAACCUCUGUCUCCCAGGUUCCAGUGAUUCUCCUGCCUCAGCCUCCAGAGUAGCUGGGAUUACAGGUGUGAGCCACCAUGCUCGGCUAAUUUUUCUAUUUUUAGUAGAAAUGAGGUUUCACCACAUUGCCCAGGCUGGUCUGGAACUCCUGACCUCAGGUGAUUCACUCACUUCAGCCUCCCAAAGUGCUGGGAUUACAAGCGUGAGCCACUGCGCCCGGACUUUCUUUCUUUUUAAAUGGAGUCUUGCUCUGUCACCCAGGCUGGAGUACAGUGGUGCGAUCUUGGCUCACUGCAACCUCCUCCUCCCAGGUUCAAGCGAUUAUCUUGCCUCAGCCUCCCAAGUAGCUGGGAUUAAAAGAGACAGGGUCUUUCUCUGUUGCCCAGACUGUAGUGUAAUGGUAUGAUCACAGCUCACUGUAACUUCCCUUCAUUUCUUUUUAAUGGCUCAUUAGUAUUCCCUGGUAUGGAUAUACCACAUUUAGUUUCUCCAUUCAUUUGCUGAUGGACCCAAGUUGUUUCCACCUUUUGGCUACUAUGAAUAAUACUGCAAUAAAUGUUGACAUACAAAUAUCUGAGUCCCAGUUUUGUUUUUUUUUUUUUUUUGAGAGAGUCUUCCUCUGUCACCCAGGCUGGAGUGCAGUGGUGUGAUCUUGGCUCACUGCAACCUCCGCCUCCCAGGUUCAAGCGAUUAUCCUGCCUCAGCCUCCUGAGUAGCUGGGAUUACAGGCACCUGCCACCACAUCCAGCUAAUUUUCGUAUUUUUAGUAGAGACAGGGUUUCACCAUGUUGGCCAGGCUGGUCUCGAACUCCUGACCUCAAGUGAUCUGCCCACCUCGGUCUCCCAAAGUGCUGGGAUAACAGGCAUGAGCCACCGCGCCCGGCCCCCAGUUUUCAAUCUUUCGGGAAAUACCUAGGAGUGCUGGGUCAUAUGGUAAUUCUAUUUAAAUUUUUUGGAAGAAGCACCAAAGUAUUUUUCACAGAAGCUGCAUCAUUUUGCAUUCCCACCAGCAAUGCAGGGCUCCAAUUUCUGCACAUCCUUGCCAGCACCAGUCACCUUUCCUGUUUGUUUUUUUUUUUGAGAUGGAGUCUCACUCUGUCACCCAGGCUGGAGUGCAGUGGCACAAUCUCAGCUCACUGCAAGCUCCACCUCCCGGGUUCACGCCAUUCUCCUGCCUCAGCCUCCCAAGUAGCUGGGACCACAGGCACCCGCCACAACGCCCAGCCAAUUUUUCUUGUAUUUUUAGUAGAGACGGGGUUUCACCGUGUUAGCCAGGAGGGUCUCCAUCUCCUGACCUCGUGAUCCGCCCGCCUCGGCCUCCCAGAGUGCUGGGAUUACAGGCUUAAGCCACCGCGCCCGGCCCUUUCCUGUUUUUUAAUUACAGCCAUCGUAGUAAGCAUGAAGUCACAGCUCACUGUGUUUUUGAUUUGCAUUUUCCCAAUGACUAAGGAUGCUGAGACUCUUCAUGUGCUUAUUGGUCAUUUGUACAUAUUUGUCAUGAAGAUUUGUCCCUGUUUUCUUCUAUGAGUUUCAUAAUUUUA